ACGCACGCUGGCGGCGUGCUUAACACCUGCAGGUCGAACGGAAAGGCCCUGCUUUUGUGGGGUGCUCGAGUGGCGAACGGGUGAGUAACACGUGAGUAACCUGCCCUUGACUUUGGGAUAACUUCAGGAAACUGGGGCUAAUACCGGAUAGGAGCUCCUGCUGCAUGGUGGGGGUUGGAAAGUUUCGGCGGUUGGGGAUGGACUCGCGGCUUAUCAGCUUGUUGGUGGGGUAGUGGCUUACCAAGGCUUUGACGGGUAGCCGGCCUGAGAGGGUGACCGGCCACAUUGGGACUGAGAUACGGCCCAGACUCCUACGGGAGGCAGCAGUGGGGAAUAUUGCACAAUGGGCGGAAGCCUGAUGCAGCAACGCCGCGUGCGGGAUGACGGCCUUCGGGUUGUAAACCGCUUUCGCCUGUGACGAAGCGUGAGUGACGGUAAUGGGUAAAGAAGCACCGGCUAACUACGUG
rnacentral:rRNA from 1 species